GCCAGACUCCUACGGGAGGCAGCAGUGGGGAAUAUUGCACAAUGGGGGGAACCCUGAUGCAGCGACGCCGCGUGGGUGAAGGAGUAUUUCGGUAUGUAAAGCCCUAUCAGCAGGGAAGAACAAUGACGGUACCUGACUAAGAAGCACCGGCUAAAUACGUGCCAGCAGCCGCGGUAAUACGUAUGGUGCAAGCGUUAUCCGGAUUUACUGGGUGUAAAGGGAGCGCAGGCGGCGCGUUAAGCCUGGUGUGAAAGCCUGCGGCCCAACCGCGGGACUGCAUUGGGAACUGGCGCGCUGGAGUGCCGGAGGGGUAGGCGGAAUUCCUAGUGUAGCGGUGAAAUGCGUAGAUAUUAGGAGGAACACCAGUGGCGAAGGCGGCCUACUGGACGGUGACUGACGCUGAGGCUCGAAAGCGUGGGGAGCAAACAGGAUUAGAUACCCUAGUAAAC
rnacentral:rRNA from 1 species